rnacentral:rRNA from 1 species
UACUACGUGUACACGCGUGAAUCGGAAUUACUGGGCGUAAAGCGCGCGUAGGUGGUUCAGCAAGUUGGAUGUGAAAUCCCCGGGCUCAACCUGGGAACUGCAUCCAAAACUACUGAGCUAGAGUACGGUAGAGGGUGGUGGAAUUUCCUGUGUAGCGGUGAAAUGCGUAGAUAUAGGAAGGAACACCAGUGGCGAAGGCGACCACCUGGACUGAUACUGACACUGAGGUGCGAAAGCGGGGGGAGCAAACAGGAUGAGAUACCCGUGUAGUCC